CCUCGUAGCUCCUCGACCUCGGCCGCCGCCCCUUCCCCCCAAUGCCAGGGCCCCACCCCCGCAGCGCCGCAACCAAACGACCCACCCGCUGCGGGGGACCCCUCACCCCGAGCCUCGCGGGGGUGAAGGACGAGCCGGGUUGGGGUUGAGACAGACAUCAGUGCCGGGUGGAGGCGCCGAGAGCGGCCCCUGCGAGGCCCUGUGGGCUGAUGGGGGCUGGGGGCGCUGGUAGGCCUGGACCUGGGGAGGGCUCUGCAGACCCCAACUCACGCAACCCAGGCUUUGCAGCCUGGCCCUCCAGAGGGGGCUGUCCCAUGAGCCUUGCCUCCCCAGACACUGCCCUUCAGGACCCCCCAGCCCCCUGCCAGUGGCCCAAGCACCAGGCCUGGCUGGCCAAAAUAAGUCUCUGUGGUAGUGGCCCCCACAAGUGACCAACAUUCCCCUUGUGGGAACACAGAAGCCACAGAGUUCUGGUCGAUGGGGCAGUGGGGUGAGUAGUGUGUCUUUUUACUGGGCGGGUCAGAGAUGUGACGCUCCGGGCAGCACAGCCCAGAAGACCGGGGCGGAGGCCCCAGCUCUAGGGCCAGUGUGCUUCCCCUUCUUAUCCCAGGCCCUGACUUCAUCCGACACUGAGCUGGCACACAGGAGGGGUGACACCCUCACCCUUCAGGACCCCAACUCUCCAUCCUCCUCCCUCAAAGAGGUCGUCCUCUACAGACACCCACCCCCGACCCAUCAAGGGACACUUCCCCUUUCUGAGCAUCUCCAAAGGCUGAGACUUUUGCUGGGACAUUCCCCACAUGCCAGGCAGGCCCCUGGAAUGCCAGCUUGACCACAGGCUGCCCACGACGUCUCUAGGCGAAAGCAGAGGGCACUGCGUUGGCUCCCCAGCCGGCGAUACAUUCAUGCAGUUCAACCCCCCAAGAAUGUAAAAAGGCCUCGUCUCCCCCCAACCCCAUUCCAAUUCCACCACGCGGGUAACUACUGUUAGAUUCAUUUCUCGUGUUAUCCUUUCUUUACGUAAAGACAUGCAGACAUGGGUCUGAAUUCUUAGUCUUCUCUUUGUUUUUAAAUGGUAUUUUCAACCCUGCUUUUAUUACCUGACGUAUCUUAAUAUGGAUUCUGUCCCAGUA